rnacentral:rRNA from 1 species
CGCGUAGGCGGCCGAUUAAGUCGGGGUGAAAGCCUGUGGCUCAACCACAGUAUUGCCUUCGAUACUGGUUGGCUUGAGACCGGAAGAGGACAGCGGAACUGCGAGUGUAGAGGUGAAAUUCGUAGAUAUUCGCAAGAACACCAGUGGCGAAGGCGGCUGUCUGGUCCGGUUCUGACGCUGAGGCGCGAAAGCGUGGGGAGCAAACA